rnacentral:rRNA from 1 species
GACGAACGCUGGCGGCGUGCUUAACACAUGCAAGUCGAGCGGUAAGGCCCUUUCGGGGGUACACGAGCGGCGAACGGGUGAGUAACACGUGGGUGACCUGCCCUCAGCUCUGGGAUAGGCCUGGGAAACUGGGUCUAAUACUGGAUAUGACUCCACGGUGCAUGUCGUGGGGUGGAAAGCCUUGUGCGGCUGAGGAUGGGCCCGCGGCCUAUCAGCUUGUUGGUGGGGUGAUGGCCUACCAAGGCGACGACGGGUAGCCGGCCUGAGAGGGCGACCGGCCACACUGGGACUGAGACACGGCCCAGACUCCUACGGGAGGCAGCAGUGGGGAAUCUUGCGCAAUGGGCGAAAGCCUGACGCAGCGACGCCGCGUGAGGGAUGACGGCCUGG